rnacentral:rRNA from 1 species
UACGUAGGUGGCGAGCGUUGUUCGGAUUUAUUGGGCGUAAAGGGUCUGUAGGAGGUUUGUUAAAUUCGAGGUGAAAUCCCGUGGCUCAACCACGGAACUGCCUUGGAGACUGAUAGACUAGGGUGCUGGAGAGGUAAACGGAAUACCAAGUGUAGCGGUGGAAUGCGUAGAUAUUUGGUAGAACACCAAGAGCGAAGGCAGUUUACUGGACAGUAACCGACUCUGAGAGACGAAAGCGUGGGGAGCAAACAGG